rnacentral:rRNA from 1 species
UAACGACUCUCGGCAACGGAUAUCUCGGCUCUCGCAUCGAUGAAGAACGUAGCGAAAUGCGAUACUUGGUGUGAAUUGCAGAAUCCCGUGAACCAUCGAGUCUUUGAACGCAAGUUGCGCCCUAAGCCGUCAGGCUGAGGGCACGUCUGCCUGGGUGUCACG